UAAUACGGAGGGUGCAAGCGUUAUCCGGAUUCACUGGGUUUAAAGGGUGCGUAGGCGGGCAGAUAAGUCAGCGGUGAAAUCCCCGAGCUUAACUUGGGAACUGCCGUUGAUACUAUUUGUCUUGAAUGUCGUGGAGGUUAGCGGAAUAUGUCAUGUAGCGGUGAAAUGCUUAGAUAUGACAUAGAACACCCAUUGCGAAGGCAGCUAACUACGCGGAUAUUGACGCUGAGGCACGAAAGCGUGGGGAUCAAACAGGAUUAGAUACCCUGGUAGUCCACGCCCUAAACGAUGAUUACUCGACAUUGGCGAUACACUGUCAGUGUCUGAGCGAAAGCAUUAAGUAAUCCACCUGGGAAGUACGAUCGCAAGAUUG
rnacentral:rRNA from 1 species